GAGGGUGUAGCUCAGUGGUAGAGUACAUGCUUAGCAUGCAUGAGGUCCUGGGUUCAAUCCCUAGUACCGCCA
rnacentral:tRNA from 1 species